rnacentral:rRNA from 2 species
AACGAACGCUGGCGGUAGGCUUAACACAUGCAAGUCGAGCGCCCCGCAAGGGGAGCGGCAGACGGGUGAGUAACGCGUGGGAAUCUACCUUUUGCUACGGAAUAACGCAGGGAAACUUGUGCUAAUACCGUAUGUGUCCUUCGGGAGAAAGAUUUAUCGGCAAGAGAUGAGCCCGCGUUGGAUUAGCUAGUUGGUGGGGUAAAGGCCUACCAAGGCGACGAUCCAUAGCUGGUCUGAGAGGAUGAUCAGCCACAUUGGGACUGAGACACGACCCAAACUCCUACGGGAGGCAGCAGUGGGGAAUAUUGGACAAUGGGCGCAAGCCUGAUCCAGCCAUGCCGCGUGAGUGAUGAAGGCCCUAGGGUUGUAAAACUCUUUCACCGGAGAAGAUAAUGACGGUAUCCGGAGAAGAAGCCCCGGCUAACUUCGUGCCAGCCGCCGCGGUAA